rfam:Otolemur garnettii contig090499, whole genome shotgun sequence.
GCAGUGCCCUAGCUCGGCAGGGACCAGUCACUUAGACUAUAUGUGACUGUUUCCUGUCUGGGUAUGGUAAGGCU